rnacentral:rRNA from 1 species
CCUACGGGAUGCAGCAGUGGGGAAUAUUGCACAAUGGGGGAAACCCUGAUGCAGCGACGCCGCGUGAGCGAUGAAGUAUUUCGGUAUGUAAAGCUCUAUUAGCAGGGAAGAAAAUGAUGGUACCUGACUAAGAAGCCCCGGCUAACUAAGUGCCAGCAGCCGCGGUAAUACGUUGGGGGCAAGCGUUAUCCGGAUUUACUGGGUGUAAGGGGAGCGUAGACGGCUGUGCAAGCCCGAUGUGAAAGCCCGGGGCACAACCCCGGGACUGCAUUUGGAACUGUGUGGCUGGAGUGUCGGAGAGGCAGGCGGAAUUCCUAGUGUAGCGGUGAAAUGCGUAGAUAUUAGGAGGAACACCAGUGGCGAAGGCGGCCUGCUGGACGAUGACUGACGUUGAGGCUCGAAAGCGUGGGGAGCAAACAGGAUUAGAUACCCCAGUAGUC